rnacentral:rRNA from 1 species
UACGAGGGGGGCGAUCGUUGUUCGGAAUUAUUGGGCGUAAAGGGUGCGUAGGCGGUUUGGUAAGUCUGAUGUGAAAUCUAUGGGCUCAACUCAUAGUCUGCAUCGGAAACUGCCGGGCUUGAGUAUGGGAGAGGUGAGAGGAAUUCCUGGUGUAGCGGUGAAAUGCGUAGAUAUCAGGAGGAACACCUGUGGCGAAGGCAGAUCUCUGGGCCGUAACUGACGCUGAGGAGCGAAAGCAUGGGGAGCGAACAGG